GCACUAGAUCCCUCCCUUUCACAAAACCCUACCCUUAAUCCCUAAACUCUCUCGAAGAAGGGAAAAAAAAGAGAGAGCCGAAUCGAAAGAUCUCAAAAGUUCAAUGUCAGCCGCCAGAUCAGUCUUCCGCUCCGCCGCAAGCCGAGCAUCCGCCGCCGCGUCAAGAUUCUCCACCGGACCCAAGCCUAUGCCGGCAUCGGCGUCAUCUCGGCCUGCGUUUCGGAUGCCUAAACAGAGCCCUCUUUCAAACCGCAUUUUCAGGUCUCCGGUGGAAUUGAGCUGCUGCGUGGAGACGAUGCUCCCUUACCACACGGCCACUGCUUCCGCUCUGCUCAAUUCGAUGCUCUCCGCUUCUCGCCGUGGUUGGAUCGUCGAAGGUCUAGACGAGACUAGAUGAAGAUCUUUCAACAAAAAAUGAUAUUGCAAUGAUGAUGUAUGAUGAAUUACUGAGGAGAGGUCAGCGAUGCAUGCAGUCUUAAGCCAAGAUGGAUGACUCUCCUUCUCACCAUUGCAGUAAACAGGAAGAUUUGUUUAAGAGUUUUAAAACCACUUGUGUUGAUUCUUAAACCAUAACAACAGAUGUUUCUCCAUGUUUUUUUUUUUUUUUUUGCUGUUACUUUAUAAAAGAUCCAAGUGAAUUGUUGAAUCAGUCUCCUUCAUUCCAUCGCCUUGUAUUGUAGGUCGUUGUAGUUUGUUGGUAUCUGAAUUUAUUUAUCAUUGAUGAAUAAUUAAUAGCUUCAAUCGUAAUAAUUCAUUUCCCAACAA